GAUGAACGCUGGCGGCGUGCCUAAUACAUGCAAGUCGAGCGAACAGACGAGGAGCUUGCUCCUCUGACGUUAGCGGCGGACGGGUGAGUAACACGUGGAUAACCUACCUAUAAGACUGGGAUAACUUCGGGAAACCGGAGCUAAUACCGGAUAAUAUAUUGAACCGCAUGGUUCAAUAGUGAAAGACGGUUUUGCUGUCACUUAUAGAUGGAUCCGCGCCGCAUUAGCUAGUUGGUAAGGUAACGGCUUACCAAGGCAACGAUGCGUAGCCGACCUGAGAGGGUGGUCGGCCACACGGGAAUGGAAACACGGUCCGGACCCCAGCGGGGGGCAGGAGGGGGGAAUUUCCGGAAAGGGGGAAAAGCGUGAGGGGGCACGGCCGGGUGAGGGAUGAAGGUUUUGGGAUCUAAAAACUUUUUUAUUGGGGAAAAAAAAAUUGGAAAGUAACUAUGCCCGGCUUGGGGGACCAUAAUAAAAAACCCACGGCAAAGUCGGGC
rnacentral:rRNA from 1 species